ACCCCACACUGCAUGCUCACUCUCCCUGCCAGACACCCCCACACUGCAUGCUCACCCUCUCUGCAGAGCCAGAGAACCCCACACUGCAUGCUCACUCUCCCUGCCAGACACCCCCACACUGCAUGUUCACCCUCUCUUCAACACAGCCAGAUAACCCCACACUGCAUGCUCACUCUCCCUUCAACACAGACAGACACUAACAUUGCAUGCUCACCCUCCCUGCCAGACACCCCCACACUGCAUGUUCACCCUCUCUUCAACACAGCCAGAUAACCCCACACUGCAUGCUCACUCUCCCUUCAAUACAGACAGACACUAACAUUGCAUGCUCACCCUCCCUGCUCACCCUCUCUGCAACACAGCCAGAUAACCCCACACUGCAUGCUAACUCUCCCUGCAACACAGCCAGACACUAACAUUGCAUGCUCACCCUCCCUGCCAGACACCCCCACACUGCAUGCUCACCCUCUCUGCAACACCAGAUAACCCCACACAUGCUCACUCUCCCUUCAACACAGCCAGACACUAACAUUGCAUGCUCACCCUCCCUGCCAGACACCCCCACACUGCAUGCUCACCCUCUCUGCAACACAGCCAGAUAACCCCACACUGCAUGCUCACUCUCCCUUUAACACAGCCAGACACUAACAUUGCAUGCUCACCCUCCCUGCCAGACACCCCCACACUGCAUGCUCACCCUCUUUGCAACACGGCCAGAUAACCCCACACUGCAUGCACACCCUCCCUGCCAGACACCCCCACACUGCAUGCUCACCCUCUCUGCAACACAGCCAGAUAACCCCACACUGCAUGCUCACUCUCCCUGCAACACAGCCAGAUAACCCCACACUGCAUGCUCACUCUCCCGGCAACACAGCCAGAUAACCCCACACUGCAUGCUCACCCUCUCUGCAACACAGCCAGAUACCCCCACAAUGCAAGCUCACUCUCGCUGCAACACAGCCUGGCACCCCCACACUGCAAGACAGCCACACUCGCGCUCUCCAUGCCAGACACCCCCGCACUGCAUUCUUACCCUUAAUGCAAGACAGCCACACACCCCACACUGCAAACUUACUUACCCUGCAUGUUCACCCUCCCUGCAACACAGCCAGACACCCCCAAACUGCUUGCUCACCCGCCCUGCCAGACACCCCACAGUGCAAGCUCACCCUCCUUGCCAGACACCCCCACAGUGCAAGCUUACCCUCCUUGCCAGACACCCCCACAGUGUAAGCUCACCCUCCUUGCCAGACACCCCCACAGUGCAAGCUCACCCUCCCUGCCAGACACCCCCACAGUGCAAGCUCACCCUCCUUGCCAGACACCCCCACAGUGUAAGCUCACCCUCCUUGCCAG